rnacentral:lncRNA from 1 species
UUUAACCUCAAAACGCGGCGAAUCAUUCACCGCAUUAAAGCCUCUAGUUCUUUUAAAGGCGGUGAAUCGUUUACCGUAUUCAUUAAAGCGGUGAACAAUUCACCGUCUUCUUUGUAAUUUUUUAGAAAAGAGAUUAAGUUUGUUAAAACUAUACGUAGAUUAUACGAAAAAUAAAAAAAAGUGAGGUUGUUAGGAUUAUGCGUGAAAUAUUAAAAUUUUUGUUUAAUUAUUAGAAUUAUAUGAAUAAAUUAUUAGAAUUUUUUUGAUUGUUAGGAUUGUAUGGAUAUAUUAUUAGGAUUUUCAAAUUAAGAUUAUAUAUGGUGUUUGAUUAUUACGAUUGUACGGAUAGAUUAUUAGAAUUUUUUGAUUGUAUAAAGCACCGUUUGGUUAGGGGAUAGGGAUAGGAAUAGGCCCUUAUCCCCCCCUUAAUACCCAAACGCUAAUUUUUUACCCGAGAAUAGUAGUUCUCGGUUAUCCCUACCAACACCUUCAUUUUCUAUAUAAAACUUCUUAAUAUUUUUCUUAUCCUCGGGAACAAUCCAAUUUUCAUCCAAACGCUAUUUCUCUUAUCCCCAUACUUGUACCUAUUCCUGUAAUAGCUAGUUCUUGCUUAUAUCCGAACCAAACGGUACCUUAGGAUUUUAUGGAUAGAUUAUUAGAAUUUUAAGAUUGUUAAAAUUAUAUGUAAUUUAUUGAAAUAUUUAUGUGGUUGUUAGGAUUAUAUAUGAAAUAUAGAAUAAUAAUUUACCGUUUUUGUGAAAAAUUAUGAUCUUUAUGAAGGCGGUGAAUCAUUCACUGUCUUUAAGAGAUUAGUUUUUUAAAUAUAAUUUUAGCAAGAUUAUUUUGCAAAUAAUAAACUUUUAGAAGGUUAUUUUAUAAAAAAGUUUUUAGAUUGGAUUUGGGUUAAGCUAGAUUUGUGAAGCAGAUGCGAGGGCAUGUUUGGCCCUUGAUUGAAACCAAUCUUUUUUUUAAAAAAAAAAUUGCUUCUGAAUAAAAAAUAAAAUAACAAAUUAUUUAAAAAUAUUUAAUGUAUUAUUAAAAUAGAAAUCAAAAUGGAUAAUUAAGAUACUAAGAUUUUGAAAGAGGGUUUUAAUUAAGAAAAAGAAGGGUGAUAAAAGAAAAAGUAAUGGAGGUGUUUGUGAGAGAAAACUUCUUAGCAGUUUAUUCUGAAACGAAUCAAUCUAAAAUUCAAAUCAGAUUGGCUCAUAAGUGAAUUGAACAAUUUUCAUUCCUGAGUGGAAAGAAAAUGGAAUUCUGAUUUUUGUGAAACAAACAAUAACAAUUAGAAUCAAUGAAUUUCAUUUUGAUUUUAGAAUCUAAAAUGGAUAAACCAAACGAGCCUUAAACAAAGAACAUAUCCGAAAUGUGUGCUGGUAAAUUGAAGAUAAUAAGCUUGGCUCGAUAGAUCUGGCCUCUUAAGUAGGAGCCCUAAUCCGAAUUGAUUAAGGGCUUGAUAGGAUAUAGAAAUGUAUUUAAUGUUGGUUAGCUGAGCAACCUUAUCCUCUCUUCCACACUUCAGCAACCCCCCAUCCCACUUGAUCCAUCAAUGUCCAUUGGAUCUCACGUUGUUGUUAUGUCGAUGUUAGAAGAUGCAUUUGAACAACAACAUUUCUGGGUGUCUGGGUUUCGAAAUUUUCCCCUAUGGUGAUAAUGAAUGCAGCAUGCUGAUCGACCAACAGGUAUGCUAUGCCCACGAUCAGACAUAGGAUCGCAAUAGUUGUAUGCAAGGGACGCAGUUACUUUACUAUUUAUUUAUUCUCAGUAACGGGCAUAGCAUUGUUGGUAAUAUAACAUUGCUCCAACAGUUAAGAUACACAGAGAGAGAGAUGUCGAGAGAACUUACUCUUUAUAUUAAAUAAUAUCUCAACUUAGUACCAAUAAUAUCCAAUCUGCAGUUAAAUUGAAAAGUGGAAAAGAAAAAGAGCUCAACGUAUAUAAGGCCAACAAAAUUCUGACCGAACCUAAACAUAAUUCAACGAGAUCUGCUAUGACAAACCCAAGCAGUUAUUUAAGAAUAAAAUUGAUGCUGAUUAAACUCGGGAGAUUUCCUUAAUCAACUUCUUCAAUCUUGGGGCCAGCACCGCUGCUCCCACCAGCCGCAGGACCGUCUUCAUCCAUGUCACCCGCCAUAUCAGCACCCGCACCCUGGUACAUCUUGGCAAUAAUUGGGUUGCAGAUGCUCUCGAGCUCCUUCAUCUUGUCCUCAAACUCAUCGGCCUCCGCCAGCUGGUUGCUGUCAAGCCAUUGGAUCGCCUGCUCGAUCGCAUCCUCAAUCUUCUUCUUAUCGGUGGCAGCCAAUUUGGACGCAAUCUUGUCGUCCUUGAUGGUGUUCCUCAUGUUGUACGCGUAGUUCUCAAACGCGUUCUUCGCCUCAACCUUCUUCUUAUGCUCCUCGUCCUCCGACUUGUACUUCUCGGCCUCUUGCACCAUCUUCUCAAUCUCGUCCUUGCUGAGCCUUCCUUUGUCAUUAGUGAUCGUGAUCUUGUUCUUCUGCCCGGUCGUCUUGUCUUCUGCCGAGACGUUCAAUAUACCAUUGGCGUCGAUAUCGAAGCACACCGUGAUCUGCGGCACACCUCUCGGUGCAGGUGGGAUACCGGAGAGCUCAAAUUUCCCCAAAAGGUUGUUGUCCCUGGUCCGCGUUCUUUCUCCUUCGUAGACCUGAAUUAGGACACCAGGCUGGUUAUCGGAGUAGGUGGAGAAGACCUGCUCCUUCUUGGUGGGAAUUGUGGUGUUUCUCGGGAUCAAAACGGUCAUCACACCGCCAGCUGUCUCCAACCCAAGGGAGAGAGGGGUGACGUCCAACAGUAAUAGAUCCUGAACUUUCUCGUUGCCCUCGCCGCUUAAAAUCGCGGCUUGGACCGCAGCACCAUAAGCAACAGCCUCAUCGGGGUUGAUGCUCUUGCAGAGCUCCUUCCCAUUGAAGAAGUCCUGCAGCAGCUGCUGGACACGUGGGAUUCUGGUGGACCCACCGACAAGCACAACGUCAUGAACAGAGCUCUUGUCCAUCUUGGCAUCUCUCAAGCACUUCUCCACGGGCUCCAUACACUUCCUGAACAGGUCCAUGUUCAGCUCCUCAAACCUGGCACGGGUAAUGGGUGAGUAGAAAUCAAUGCCUUCGUACAAAGAAUCAAUCUCGAUUGUGGUUUGGGCAGUCGAGGAGAGAGUCCUCUUCGCUCUCUCACAGGCUGUCCUCAGCCUUCUCAGAGACCUAGGGUUUCCACUGAUGUCCUUCUUGUGUUUCCUCUUGAACUCUUGAACAAAGUGGUUCACCAUGCGGUUGUCAAAGUCCUCGCCACCGAGAUGCGUGUCACCAGCUGUGGCCUUCACCUCGAAGAUCCCCUCUUCAAUGGUAAGGAGGGAGACAUCAAAGGUGCCGCCUCCUAAGUCGAAGAUGAGAACGUUCUUCUCUCCAACACUGGUGGCCUUCUUGUCAAGCCCAUAGGCAAUAGCAGCCGCUGUGGGUUCAUUAAUAAUACGCAUGACAUUGAGGCCGGCAAUGACACCUGCAUCUUUAGUGGCCUGCCGCUGAGAGUCGUUGAAGUAGGCAGGGACGGUGACAACGGCGUUCUUGAUGGUGGAACCAAGAUAGGCCUCAGCAAUCUCGCGCAUCUUCAUCAGAACCAUUGAGGAGAUCUCCUCAGCUGCGAAUUGCUUCUCUUCACCCUUGUGCUGCACCACAAUCAUGGGCUUGUCCCCAGGUCCUGCAAUGACCUUGAAGGGCCACAAUUUCAUGUCGCUUUGGACAGGGGCGUCACUGAACCGCCUCCCAAUUAGACGUUUUGCAUCUGAAACAGCAUACAAGCAAUGCAAUAGCUGUUAGAAUUUAUGGAUCUAUGACAAGCUAAAAUUGGUGCAAGAUGCAAGACAAAGUAGCCGAGCAACACUAAUCGCUUCAAAAGAACUAUUGGAAACGGAGAAGCCUCUAUUGCAAAGAGCAUUUGCAUGUACACUAUAGCUUGAGAAACAUUUAGAAAGGAAAGAAAUUUAGGCGAAAAAAUUAGUAAUUGUGAAUAUGCUAAGAGACCAGCAUACAUGAACAACAGCUGAGAAAUAUGCAUGCAGUAUACUUAGGUACCAUUAAUUAAAACCACAAAUAUGAAACAUCUGAAAUGCAAAAUUAUGUAGUUUUGCGACUACUAUUCUACAGGAAGAUGGCAUAAUUAACAUAUUAAAAAAGCAACUUUCUAUACAGUGAGUUCUCUGCGACAAUCUUUGCACUAAGAUGAGGAGGAAACAUUUUCAUAUUCGCUACUAAUUCUAGUAUUUAUUGAGUGAACACAUUUUCCUUCUCCCAUAUGGAGGAAUGAAAAACAUAUUCCCUUAUCUCUCAUUCAAGAUAAGUGGAUCGAGUAAGCACAUAUGCCAUCUAUAAUUCUAUAAAUUACAAAGUAAGGAUCCACAGAACUAAUCAACUUUGUUUACUUGGAAUUAUUGGAAAAGGAAAACGCCCAAAAACAGAUCCCAAUUACAGACCAAAAGAGAGUGCGACAAAAGGUAACUACCACAAUACAACAACCACACAUAUCAAAUCGACUGUUAGGAGAACAGAUCCAGACCAUGAAACAGCAUAUCGAUCAAUACAUUAAAUCGAUAAUGGAAAGACAGAUCGAUGCAAGGCAACCCUAUCUCAGACAAAAGUCAACCCGUCGCUAUUUUAAAACCUUCAGAUCUACGAAAAUACCACAAAAGGGGCAUAAAAUUUGAAGAGACGGGUUCACCCAAUCUCUGAUCUGCACAACAGACGUGCUUACGAUACAAUUAAAUGAUCAACAAGCUCGAAGUUACACACUUCUAGUCCAGAUAUACUAUAUAAGCAAAUGAAAACAAGACAAAACGCAUUGGUCCAGAAACAUCAGCGACUUUUUCACCAGAUCUACCAUUAGAAUCACAAAGAGACACACAAAUAGCUACUAAAAAACGCAGAUCCAUCACAAAUCACACCGAGUAACACACUGAGGAUUACAGAUCUACCGAACAGAGAUGCGAGAGAUCGAGAGAACUCACCGAAGACGGUGUUGGUGGGGUUCAUGGCGACCUGGUUCUUCGCGGCGUCGCCGAUGAGGCGCUCACUGUCGGUGAAGGCGACAUAGGACGGUGUGGUGCGAUUCCCCUGGUCGUUGGCGAUGAUCUCCACGCGAUCGUGUUGCCACACCCCCACGCACGAAUAGGUGGUGCCGAGGUCGAUCCCGAUCGCCGGUCCCUCGCCUUUCCCCGCCAUGUUCGAUCUACAAAUGGGAUCUACGAAAAAGACGAAGAAGGAAACGAAGAAGAUGAGGAGAACAGAUCCGUCGCGGCGGAGGCGGCGGAUAAAUAACCUAAAAUAGUUAGAGGAGGAGGAGCAAAGCAGAGUAUGAGGGAGUAUAUAUAGUUUCGUCGAGGCGCUUUACACCGAAGCCUUUGAUGGAUCCCGACCGUUGGAUUUGAUCUGGACGGAUUUUGAGGCGGUCUUGUAGCCAAAUUAGUGGAACGGGCUGAUCGUUCCACGGUUCUAGAGAGUGCGAGAAGGUUCUAAACGUGCGUAUUGACUUUGACCAGAGUCGAUCAAGGCCGCUCGAUUGGAGUAAUCUAUAAAUGGGCACCGUAGGUCGGCAAUACAGUUAGAUCAAUUUUCGGCCGUCCGAUUAACGUGACAGCGAAAAUUUGCUGGACGGCACCAAAUAGUAUGGCUCGUGGGGGCCCACCGUGAAAACUAUUGUCUAAAACUCCCUCUACCACGUCAUCAUAGACCAAGCCAGUUAAGAAUCGGUCAUUUUUUUAAUUUUUUAAUCGGCCUCAUUAUUCACCCCACUUCAAAUAAUAAAUAAAUGUAACCAUUACUGUAGAUUUCAUUAUCCCACCCCAUACUAAUACGAACCUAUUAUAAUUAACACAUAAGAAACUCCAAGAAUCAAAUCAGCAAAUAUGCAUAUAUGGCGUUUGAAAUUUAAUCUAAAAAUUUCUUGAGGAUAAAAAUUUACUGUACUAGAUAAUAUUCUACAUGUGAUAGAAACACACCUCUUGUGAGUAGAAUACUAUAUUGUAUGCAGUCGAAAAGAGGAUUCAGUAUUAUAUAACAUCCUAAAAAAAAGAUUCAAUAUGACAAAUAUAUGGUAGUAAAAUCAUUUAUUUACAAAUAUACUUGGAUUAUAUCAAACACAUGUGAGUAUCUCAAAAAUUAUUUCACUCAUAUAUAUUCUUUUUCUCGCUAUGACACUGCCUGAUUAGUAUACAUCUAUAUAGGCAAAAGAAUGCAUCGAAGGCCGUUAUCAGUACAUUUGAUGAAAUCUAAUUAAUUAUCUUAUAUUUUUGUUUUGUUGCAAUUAGCGAACUUGAGAGAAUAGCAAAGGUUGCUUUGAGUAUAAAAAGUGGUGUAAAGAGGUACGUAUAAGAACACUUAGCUCUUGUUUGGUUGGGGGGUUAAGGGGUGGAAUAACCCCUUAACCUCCCCAAACACCCUAAAAAAUAGGUGGGAUUAGCUAACCCCACCUAACCUCACCUCAAAUAAAUUAUCCCGGGUUAGCUAACCCCACCUAACCCCAUCAAACUCCAACCAAACACUAUUUUCUAUUCAUAAUAACUCACUAUCUUUCUUAUCACACAUACUCCAACCAAUCAUCAUUCUUCUUUAUCAAUCACUAUCUUUUUAUCCCACCUACCCAACCAAACACUAUUUUUCAUUAUUCUAGACUAACUCCAACCCCCAACCAAACACAAAAAAACUUUAACCCCACUUUAACCCUGAACUUAACUCUAUCCCUGGAAUAGCUACUUUUUCCUUAACCCCGAACCAAACGGAGGCUUAUUAAUUCAUCUUAUACACUUAUUAAUUCAUAUGUUAUUGCAUAGUAACAGAAUAACUGGCAAUGUGGAAGUCCAUUUGUAUAAGUACUUAAAAAUUCUCUAAUUAUUGAGCAAUGUACUCAAAACCAUUUUUACUUCUGGAGACGUACGUAACAUGAUUAAUGCAUUUGAAACGUGUAGGGAACGUAUCUUGUUUUGUCCAUAACUAAAAAAUUCUCCCCUUUUUAGAGGAACAAGUUUGUACUGUAAGCUUAAGAGGAACAAAGGUUUAGGAGGGUAUGCCAAAUUCGAUGACAAUCCCAAGUGAAACAUUUUGGUUGGACUAUGGCGCUGGGAUAAACUAAAUCAAGGAGACUUAAUAUAAGAAAUUUAAAAUUGUGAAAGGAGGAUAUAUAUAUAGUCCGGCUAUUAUACUCUUAUGAGUAUGAUCACAUUCGUACUCAUAAGUGAUUUUUGAUGAUAGAGUUUUCGAAUCGACGAUCCACACCAUUAAAUGUUAUCUAAAGCAUUUAAAACGUCUAGAAAUCAAAUUUUAUAAUUUUUCAACAUCAUUUACCUUACGAUCAAAAAGUCACAAAAUUGACAAUUUUUAACGGCCAGUAUGGAAUAUUUGCUAGUUUAACGGUGUAAAAGAAUCGAAAUCGGUUGAAUUUUCGAUAGAAAAUUUUAUUCACUAUAUAGAUAAAGAUUAAUAACUCCGAUCUAAAAUUGAAGGAUCCGAUCAUCUAUUUUUAAGACGUCGUUCGAUUUUGAUUGUUUAUUUUAUAUCCGCUUGAUGAACUUUAUUAUGAUUUCGAAAAAUUACGAAAUUUAUUUUCUAGAAGUUUCAAAUAUUUUAGAUCAUAUUUAACGAAGUGAAUCGUCGAUUUAGAAGCUUAAUCAUUGAAAACAACUUAUGAGUAUGAAGGGUUCUAUACUUAUAAGAGUAUAGUAGUCCUAACCUCUAUAUAUAUAUAUAUAUAUAUAUAUAUAUAUAUAUAUAUAUAUAUAUAUAUAUAUAUAGAAAGAGAGAGAGAGAGAAAGAGAGCAGGUCUUGUAUGCUAUUAGAAGCACGAAGGUCUUCGUGCUCUUAUCCGUGCUCCUAAGACGUUUUCGAUGAUGGAGCUUUCGAAUCAACGAUCGGCUCCGUUAGACUUGAUUUAGUGUAUUUGAACCAUCUAGAAAAUAACUUUUGUGAUUUUUCGGUAUCAUUUUUCUAGCGAUCAAAAGGGUUCAAAAUCAGCAAUUUUUAAUGGUUGAUGUAUACCGUUUGCAAGUUUAACGGUAUAGAAGUAUUCAAAUCAGAUAAAAUUUUGAUAGAAAAUUCUUUAUACUAUUUACAGCAAGAUCAAUAUCUUUGAUCGAAAAUUUUAAUGUUAUAUCACCAUUUUUUUUGAGAUUUUAUUUUCAGCCGUUGAUUUUGAACCCUUUCAAUCGUUAGAUAAAUGAUAUCGAAAAGUCACAAAAUUUAUUUUCUAGAUGCCUCAAAUAUGUAAGAUCAAGUCUAAUGGAGCCGAUCGUCGAUUCGGAAGCUCCAUCAUCGAAAACAGCUUAGGAGCACAAAGACCUCCGUGCUCCUAAUAGCACACAAGACCCACACACACACACACAUAUAUAUAGAGCCAGGCUGCUGUGCUCUCAGGAGCACGGAGGCCUCCGUGCUCCUGAGCCGUUUUCGAUGAUGGAGUUUCCGAAUUAACGAUCGGCUCCGUUAAAUUUGAUUUAGCGUAUUUGAAGUUUCUAGAAAAUAAUUUUUGCGAAUUUUCGAUAUCAUUUACCUAGCAAUCGAAAUGAUUCAAAAUCAUUUAACGGCUGAAAAUAAAAAUCCAAUAAAAAGUGGUGAUAUAGCACUAAAAUUUUCGAUCAGAAAUAUUGAUUUUGUUGUAGAUAGUAUAAAGAAUUUUGUAUCAAAAUUUCAUCUGAUUUGAAUACUUCUACACCGUUAAACUUGAAAACGACAGAUAUCAACCAUUAAAAAUUAUAAAUUUUGAAUCCUUUCAAUCACUAGGUAAAUG